AAUGGACGUUAAGUAAAUGUCUCUGUUUACUCUGAGUGUCUCAUAUAUAGAUAUGUAAGUAUAAUAUGCAUAGCCUACAUAUACUCGCUGUGGGAGGUUACAUAUGAUCUUUUCAGUAUCUAUCAAAGGUGUUGUUCAAAAGCAACUGCCACAAGUGUCGCGCGUAAACCUGGUUAAACGAUUGUUGUCGAGAGCAAUGUUAAGUAGAAGUGGUCCUGUCUUUUGUUGUAGCUGUUGAAUCACUCAGUGCAAGUUCGGUUUAGAACAGAAAGAACCUAUGCUGCCUUUAUAAUAUCAAGUGAACUUAUGAGGUGUCGUGAAAAAUGGUUGUUGAAUUGAUUCUUUAUAAAUUGGUAUAUCUAUCUAAUCAAACAUAUAUCUUACCGAAGACAGAGGUACUUAAAAGUGAGAGAAUGUCACUUGUGAUGCGCCUGGUAGCACGUUUUGUGUUGUGCAAUGUGUAUGGGCAACUGUCAUAGUAACUGGAAUUGGCAUCACAACACGUGCCGAGCAAACGACGGUGUAGUGUGUAAACAUGUUUUUCUGCAAAACGUGGCACGGGCAAGUUUUUCUCAAGAGGACUGAACUCGACGGAAAAGACUGCCGGACGUCCUUCAUCCAGGGAGCGGUGGAAGAGAAGAUAUCAGCGAGGACACGCCUUCAAGUCGACGCCCCACAGCCCGCCUUGUGAUGCAGUCUCCAUAGCGACUUCAUUUUCCAAGGAUGGAAGGCCUUGUGAAGGAAUCUCUGUGGUCUCGUCUUCUCUCCCCACUCUCUUUCUCUCCACUGGGCUCUGAACCAAAGGCUGUCUGGAGCAGUUUUCUGGACGAGAGGAAGGAAAAACAGUGGAGAAGGAGUAGGAGGAAGGAGGAAGAUGUCCGAGAGCUAGCCAGCUGUCCUCCGUGGUGACGUGACAACACGCCGCGUCCCUGACGGAUCUGUCUCGCCAUGUGGCUGUGUUCCAUAUGGCGGCCCGGUUGGACUGGGCAGGCGGCCACAGAGGACGCAUCGCAUCG